rnacentral:snRNA from 1 species
ACACUCAGCGGGCAGGGGAGAUACCAUGAUCAUGAAGGUGGUUUCCCAGGGCGAGGCUUAUCCAUUGCACUCUGGAUGUGCUGACUCCUGUGAUUUCCCCAAAUGUGGGGAACUCGACUGCAUAAUUUGUGGUAGUAUGAGGCUGCAUUCAUGCUCUCCAC